AUCACCAGGUUUCUUGUCACCCUGAAGUCCAAACCAGUGCCCUCUGCUUUGCACCCCCCUCCUGCAGGUUUUGCUCCAUGUCUCUCAUACAGUGAAUGGACAAGGAUAUCCACGUUCCAUAUCAGCAAACUCUGGUACUGCUGAAGAGAGAGCAACAUGCGAAGCAUGGCCAGAAACACCAUACAAAACUGCCUGGUGAUGCCACCCAUUCUGCCAUGAUGCUAGGAUUUCUCUAGUAAGAGAAUAAAAAUGUUGUAAAAGCA